GGGAAUUUUGGACAAUGGGCGAAAGCCUGAUCCAGCAAUGCCGCGUGCAGGAUGAAGGCCUUCGGGUUGUAAACUGCUUUUGUACGGAACGAAAAAGCUUCUCCCAAUACGAGAGGCCCAUGACGGUACCGUAAGAAUAAGCACCGGCUAACUACGUGCCAGCAGCCGCGGUAAUACGUAGGGUGCGAGCGUUAAUCGGAAUUACUGGGCGUAAAGCGUGCGCAGGCGGUUAUGUAAGACAGAUGUGAAAUCCCCGGGCUCAACCUGGGAACUGCAUUUGUGACUGCAUGGCUAGAGUACGGUAGAGGGGGAUGGAAUUCCGCGUGUAGCAGUGAAAUGCGUAGAUAUGCGGAGGAACACCGAUGGCGAAGGCAAUCCCCUGGACCUGUACUGACGCUCAUGCACGAAAGCGUGGGGAGCAAACAGG
rnacentral:rRNA from 1 species